rnacentral:rRNA from 1 species
GAUGAACGCUGGCGGCGUGCCUAAUACAUGCAAGUCGAGCGAACGGACGAGAAGCUUGCUUCUCUGAUGUUAGCGGCGGACGGGUGAGUAACACGUGGAUAACCUACCUAUAAGACUGGGAUAACUUCGGGAAACCGGAGCUAAUACCGGAUAAUAUUUUGAACCGCAUGGUUCAAAAGUGAAAGACGGUCUUGCUGUCACUUAUAGAUGGAUCCGCGCUGCAUUAGCUAGUUGGUAAGGUAACGGCUUACCAAGGCAACGAUGCAUAGCCGACCUGAGAGGGGAACCGGCCAACUGGAAACUGGACACCGUCCCAACUCCCUACGGGGGGAGGAAGUAGGAAAUCUUCCGAAAGGGGCGAAAGCCUGACGGGCCAACGCCGGGGGGGGGAGAAAGGGCUUGGGAUCGUAAAACUUUUUUAUUAGGAAAAAACAUAGGUGUAAGUAACUGUGCAAUUCUUGCAGGAACCAAAUAAGAAAGCCCCGGUAAACUACGG